AUCCCUCUCUCUCGAACACAAAUGCUACUAUUUCGAUUUUUGAAAUCUAUAACGGUCAUAAGGCCGUCAAUCGACUGAAUCAUCUCUCUUGCUUCUUUGUGUUCUUGUUCUACUUUGAAAAUUUUUAGAUUCAAUUCUCUUGGUGAUUACGACUGGUUUUUCUUUACAAUCGCUGAUCCAAUUAUUUGUUUUGCAGGAAUUGUUAUUUUGGAUCUAUAGGCUCUCCGACUCUUUGUUUUGCAGAUUUUUUUUUUCCUUUCCUUUGGAUCUCUCGCUUUCUGCUAUAUUUUCCCUUUUUGUGCUAACGUCAUGGAUGCAGGAUCUUUCGCCCCUUCUAACAAGAGCCAAUCUCGAAACCCUUUUCAAGAACAGGUUGUCCAGAGAAGAAGCUCCCGUGAAAAUUUGGACAGAUUCAUUCCAAACCGUUCGGCAAUGGAUUUCGACUUCGCUCGUUACAUGUUGACAGAUGGUAGAAUCGAGAAAGAACCCACGGGAUUGAUCUCUCCAUCAAGAGAAGCUUAUAGGAAGCAAUUAAAGGAGAUCUUCAAUAUGAACAGAACUCGGAUUCUUGCAUUCAAGAACAAGCCACCUUCCCCAGUUAAAGGGCUUUUAUCAGAAUCCAUCUCAUCUGUUCAACAAUCGAAACCUGUAAAGCCGAGGAGACAUAUUUCCCAAUCUUCAGAGAGAACAUUAGAUGCCCCUGAACUUGUAGAUGAUUACUACUUGAAUCUGCUUGACUGGGGUAGUGCCAAUGUCCUGGCGAUUGCCCUUGGGAACACUGUCUACUUAUGGAAUGCUUCUGAUGGAUCUACAUCUGAACUGGUUACAAUUGAUGACGAGAAUGGUCCUGUCACCAGUGUCCGCUGGGCUCCCGAUGGAAGACACAUUGCUGUUGGCUUGAACAAUUCUGAGAUACAGUUAUGGGAUUCUUCCUCAGAUCGACAGUUGAGAACGUUGCGAGGAGGGCACCUGUCUCGUGUGGGAUCUCUUGAUUGGAACAAUCACAUUCUGACCACCGGAGGAAUGGAUGGUCUUAUUAUCAACAAUGAUGUACGAGUGAGAAACCAAAUUGUUGAAACUUACAGGGGACACCACCAGGAGGUCUGCGGGCUAAAAUGGUCAGCUUCUGGGCAGCAACUAGCCAGUGGAGGCAAUGACAAUCUUCUGCACAUAUGGGACCGGGGAAUGGCCUCUUCGAAUUCUCCAACUCAAUGGCUUCACAGGUUGGAAGACCACACAGCAGCUGUGAAGGCUCUGGCCUGGUGUCCUUUCCAGAGCAAUUUGCUCACCUCUGGUGGGGGUGGAGAAGAUCAAUGCAUAAAAUUCUGGAAUACGCAUACUGGUGCAUGCUUGAACUCAGUGAAUACAGGGUCUCAGGUCUGUUCCUUGCUGUGGAGCAAGAAUGAGCGAGAGCUUCUGAGCUCUCAUGGGUUCACUCAAAAUCAGCUAACCCUUUGGAAGUACCCAUCUAUGGUUAAACUUGCUGAGCUCACAGGACAUACUUCUAGAGUUCUGUUCAUGGCACAGAGCCCAGAUGGCUGCACAGUAGCAUCUGCAGCUGCUGAUGAAACGCUUAGAUUUUGGAAUGUAUUUGGGGCUCCUGAAGCUGCGAAGCCUGCCCCCAAAACAAACCAGGAGCCAUUUUCUAACAUAACCCGCAUUAGAUGAAGGAUGGCAGCUUUUCCCCCUUUCAAUGUUUAAGGUACACUGAAAGAAUAAUUACAACAAAAACAACAGGAUGGCAGCUUCCCCCUUUCAAGUUCAACAGAUGGAAGCUUCCUUUCCCCUUUCAAGUUCAGUGGCUUAUUCUGAUUGCAUUCUCUGCAAUCAGGUAGAUAUUAUUGAAGAGAGAGAUGAAUAUGAGGGUCAAGGUAUAUUGGCUACAGAGUGACAGGAGAUGAGAGAGAAAGGAAGGUGAGAGAAGGAGCACGAAAGCUUUUCAAACAUGGGAGUAGUAGUUUUCCAGAUUCCAGAUUCCUUACGAACUUUGUAUACACUUAGGCACCUUGUCACCUAAGCGCUUAGGCAGCCCUUGGUUCUCCCUGGCGCCUUGACAAAUAUGGAUGGGAGAGCAAGGCCCGUGUCAUCACUGUGGGAUUGAUUACCAAAUUGUCUGUCAGGGACAGAACCCAAGGAGGAUCAUUAUCGUCGUCAUCUUCACCCAGAAAUUCUAAGAACCAGGCCCUAACAGAAGUACCAUUAGUCCAUGCGACAGCAGCAUUAGUAAAACUGCGUCAAGGGAGCAUCUACCAACCAUUUUUAAGGGAGAGAAUAGUUUCCCUGGGGUCCUCAAAAGCUGGUUACGUGGUAGCUUGACAGCAUGAAAAAAAUUGGAGAAAAAUUACUUAUUGAUUGGCGGAAAUGAUGCUGUGCUUCUUUUUCUUUCCCGUUUUUUUUGGGGAUAAGAAUCAAUGAUAUGAUUCUAUUCAUGAGAAGUCUGUACAUGAUCAUUGGAUGAUUUAGUGGUUCUUCCCAUAAAGUUUGUUUGUCAAGUCCAAAGACAAGUCAUUAUAGUAUAAUCCAGUUAACUAUAGUGAAUUGUUGGACUUCAUUACAGAAUGUCUGAAUCAAGAUACACAUGUAUGCUUCCGAAGUGAGUAGUUGAAGAACAAAUCCAGUUGGGAGGGCGACUCCAUAUGUUAAUGAAUCUGUUAGUGUUAACGUCAACCCCUUCAACAGAGAUCUGCCUCCUAAAUUUAUCACGUGGUUGGCAGCAAGGAACCUUUCAAGUAAUGAUGGUAUAAUACGUGCCAAAGAAGGGUACAUCAAGGAAGGAAAGAGUGUCGGUGCAAUGGGUGUCAUUCAGAGGUAUGAUAAUGUGCUCGUGAUUGUUCCUUCUUUUGAACCUUUUCUACAGGAUACCACUGGAAAUAAUUGUAUCAUUCCAGGACAUCUUGAGGGUACUGCCCAGAGAUGCGGAGUUACAUAAAAAAUUGAUGUCACUCCAGUAAAGUUUCUAGGGAGGGGGCUGGAUGCAAAUUUUUAAAAAUAUAUAGUUGGUGCUGGUGUUGAUGUCUCCAGGAAGAUUGUUUAAUUGAUUUUGAGGUUUACUUCACUCCUACAUUUUGUUUGUGUGGUUAAAGCUGUGCAGCUGCAUAAAGCAUUGGUUAAAGAGCUUUUAGCAAACACUAAUACUUAUUCAAGUUUUCUGUAAAGUGCAUAGAACUUGGAAUGUUGCUAAGUUCAUUAUUGAAAUGGUAUGAAACAAUUUUUCUUCA